GACAGAGGGUGCAAACGUUGCUCGGAAUCACUGGGCGUAAAGGGCGUGUAGGCGGGAAGGAAAGUCGGGCGUGAAAUCCCUGGGCUCAACCCAGGAACUGCACUCGAAACUUCUUUUCUUGAGUGCCGGAGAGGAAAGCGGAAUACCUGGUGUAGAGGUGAAAAUUCGUAGAUAUCAGGUGGAACACCAGUGGCGAAGGCGGCUUUCUGGACGGUAACUGACGA
rnacentral:rRNA from 1 species